rnacentral:rRNA from 1 species
CCUACGGGUGACAGCAGUGAGGAAUAUUGGUCAAUGGACGAGAGUCUGAACCAGCCAAGUCGCGUGCAGGAUGACGGCUCUAUGGGUUGUAAACUUCUUUUAUAUGGGGAUAAAGUGAGGAACGUGUUCCUUUUUGUAUGUACCAUAUGAAUAAGCAUCGGCUAACUCCGUGCCAGCAGCCGCGGUAAUACGGAGGAUUCGAGCGUUAUCCGGAUUUAUUGGGUUUAAAGGGUGCGUAGGGGGUUCAUUAAGUCAGAGGUGAAAGUUUGGGGCUCAACCAUAAAAUUGCCGUUGAUACUGGUUGACUUGAGUAUAUUUGAGGUAGGCGGAAUGCGUGGUGUAGCGGUGAAAUGCAUAGAGAUCACGCAGAACUCCGAUUGCGAAGGCAGCUUACUAAACUAUAACUGACACUGAAGCACGAAAGCGUGGGGAUCAAACAGGAUUAGAUACCCCUGUAGUC